UACGUAGGGUGCAAGCGUUGUCCGGAAUUAUUGGGCGUAAAGAGCUCGUAGGCGGUUUGUCGCGUCGGCUGUGAAAACCCGGAGCUCAACUCCGGGCCUGCAGUCGAUACGGGCAGACUGGAGUUCGGCAGGGGAGACCGGAAUUCCUGGUGUAGCGGUGAAAUGCGCAGAUAUCAGGAGGAACACCGGUGGCGAAGGCGGGGCUCUGGGCGAAUACUGACGCUGAGAAGCGAAAGCGUGGGGAGCGAACAGG
rnacentral:rRNA from 1 species